UACGUAGGGGGCAAGCGUUAUCCGGAUUUACUGGGUGUAAAGGGAGCGUAGACGGCUGAACAAGUCUGGAGUGAAAUCCCGGGGCUCAACCCCGGAGCUGCUCUGGAAACUGUAUAGCUAGAGUACUGGAGAGGCAGGCGGAAUUCCUAGUGUAGCGGUGAAAUGCGUAGAUAUUAGGAGGAACACCAGUGGCGAAGGCGGCCUGCUGGACAGCGACUGACGUUGAGGCUCGAAAGCGUGGGGAGCAAACA
rnacentral:rRNA from 1 species